CCUACGGGGUGCAGCAGUGGGGGAUAUUGCACAAUGGGGGGAACCCUGAUGCAGCGACGCCGCGUGGGUGAAGAAGCGCCUCGGCGCGUAAAGCCCUGUCAGCAGGGAAGAAAAUGACGGUACCUGAAGAAGAAGCCCCGGCUAACUACGUGCCAGCAGCCGCUGUAAUACGUAGGGGGCAAGCGUUAUCCGGAUUUACUGGGUGGAAAGGGGGCGCAGACGGCGAUGCAAGCCAGGAGUGAAAGCCCGGGGCCCAACCCCGGGACUGCUCUUGGAACUGCGUGGCUGGAGUGCAGGAGGGGCAGGCGGAAUUCCUGGUGGAGCGGUGAAAUGCGUAGAUAUCAGGAGGAACACCGGUGGCGAAGGCGGCCUGCUGGACUGCAACUGACGUUGAGGCCCGAAAGCGUGGGGAGCAAACAGGAUUAGAUACCCUAGUAGUC
rnacentral:rRNA from 1 species